GAUGAAGAACGCAGCGAAAUGCGAUAAGUAAUGUGAAUUGCAGAAUUCAGUGAAUCAUCGAAUCUUUGAACGCACCUUGCGCCCUUUGGCCAUUCCGAAGGGCAUGCCUGUUUGAGUAUCAUGAACACCUCAACUCUUUAUGGUUUUCCAUGAUGAGCUUGGACUCUGGGGGUUUUGCUGGCUCACAGUCGGCUCCUCUAAAAUGAAUCAGCUUACCAGUGUUUGGUGGGUAUCAUGGGUGUGAUAACUAUCUACGCUUGUGGUUUUUCCACCAGGUAACCUUCAGCAGUGGAGGUUCGCUUGAGCUCAUAGAUGUCUCUCCUCAGUGAGGACAGCCCUUUGAAUGUUUGAUCUCAAAUCAGGUAGGACUACCCGCUGAACUUAAGCAUAUCAAUAAGCGGAGGA
rnacentral:misc_RNA from 1 species